rnacentral:tRNA from 1 species
AAAGGGAGACCUAAUUCAGGUAGGAGACGAAAAAAAAGUAGUCCCUACCAGGAAUCAAUCCCAAAAGGUCGGAGCGAGGCAAAAUUGGCUUUCAAACUAGGUUCUGGGUUCACACAAGACCUGAAUCAGGAACAAGGGCUAUUAGCUCAGGUGGUUAGAGCGCACCCCUGAUAAGGGUGAGGUCCCUGGUUCGAGUCCAGGAUGGCCCACCUGCACAGGUGGAAGAAAGAAAAGAAGCUCCGAAUCAGCACCUUAUCUUACUUAUAUAGUAAGAGAGAAUGCUGGCUCUGAGUACAGAGUCCAGAGGAACCUUGAAAACUGCAUAGAGCUAGGUGAAAAAGCCAAAAAAGAAGACCGCAAG